rnacentral:rRNA from 1 species
AGUGAACGCUGGCGGUAGGCCUAACACAUGCAAGUCGAACGGCAGCACAGUAAUAGCUUGCUCUUACCGGUGGCGAGUGGCGGACGUGUGAGGAAUACAUCGUAAUCUACUUUUUCGUGGGAGAUAACGUAGGUAAACUUACGCUAAUACCGCAUACGACCUACGGGUGAAAGCAGUGGAUCUUCUGACCUUGCGCGGUUGGAUGAGCCGAUGUCGGAUUAGCUAGUUGGCGGGUUAAAGGCCCACCAAGGCGCCGAUCCGUAGCUGGUCUGAGAGGAUGGUCAGCGACCCUGGAACUUAGACACGGUCCAGACUCCUACGGGAGGCAGCAGUGGGGAAUAUUAGACAAUGGGCGCAAGUCUGAUACAGCCAGACCGCGUGGGUUAAGAAGGCCUUCGGUUCGUAAAGCCCGUUUGUGGGGAAAGAAAAGCAGCAGGUUAAUACCACGCUGUUCUGACGGUACUCAAUGAAUAAGCACCGGCUAACUUCGUG